rnacentral:hammerhead_ribozyme from 1 species
GCACUGCUGACGAGUCCCACAAUAGGACGAAACGGCCGUCAAGUAG